GCGUUUUUGCGUUGCGGAUCCGGGAGACCGGAGGCCCUUGCGGUGGGUCUCGCGUUCGGAAGCUUCGCCGGAUGUGGUGAUGGUGACCGGAGCGGAGUCGGAGUUGGGGCUACAGGCCCUGUUUUCGGAUUAUGGUUUGUGGUGGUUCAUCUAUCUUCGUGUCUUUGGUGUGUUGGAGCCAUGAUGAAGGUAUGGAGCUGACUUUUCCGUGGGGAUUGUCCCCGACCGAUAUGCCGGAAUCUGACAUCGGUUCCCGUUGGAUGGGGAAGGACCUAUUAUGCGGCCUCAAAAGCCAUAGAUGGCGAUGCGGGGAAAUGGCUUCUUUCGGCUCGAGCAGACGACGAGCGGCCGGCCGGCAGGUGGUUAAGGCGAGCCUGGAGUUUAAUGUUGUAAGGAUCGUUGUGCUUAGGUUGCAGGGCUUGUGGUCUGUUUCCGUCUUUGUUUGUGUACGGAGUGCUUGUAUUUGUUGUUGUCAUGUACUGCGUAUAAGAAUAUGAAUACAAGCAUCCUUUUCUAAACAAGAGACAAUGGCGACCGGGGCGCAUCAGCUUCCCAUGCUUGUCGCAGCCUCCCCGCGUGGGACCCAAUUGGGCAUGCUGCUGCCUUCCAG
rnacentral:lncRNA from 1 species